AUAAACUGCGAUAUGGCUCACGUGUCGACUUCAACUCUUAGAAAAGUAUGAAAAACUUAUAAUUCACAAUGUGUAUAUUUAAAAGUUCAAAAAUGUUGUAAAUUAUUGGAUAGGGUCGUGUACAUUAAAACUCGCUGGUAAAUACUGAAAAUUUAGUGAAUAAACAAAUAGAGAAGACCUAUGACAAGAUCGAUAACAACCCCUAGACACAAAAACCAGCCAUAGGAGCAGUCAAUAUUAUCAAUGAAAACCGAUAGCUUAUAACAAAAGUUGCUACCGGCAACAAAAAUCUAGUAACUUUCAAUGGCAGAAACAGCGACCUAUGACAACCCAUAACAACAAUUAAAGAUGCAGGGACAUUGGAUUAGUAAGCUCUGUGAAGAAAACUAGUCUGGCAUCACCAUGUGCCAUUGCACUGUGGCCACUGUCGUAUAUAUUUGAACUCUGACGUCACACAUGGCCUGCAAAACAAUCUUUCUCCAUUCCUAUUCCUGUCUCGAGUACAUUUCGACUAACAUUUAUGCACGCCAAAUUUAGUGUCUGCUCAUCAGCAUCCUCAUAAGGACGGAUUUUUCAACUGCAAAAUGUGUGUUUGACAGAAGUGAAACUUUUUUAAAACGGAAAUUAACCUAUUUAGAUAUCAACCAAAAAUUAAAACCUCUAUUUAAAAAUUUAAAACCUCUAUAAAUUCGAAUAAAAUCGAUAGAAUUAGAUACAUUAUUCUAAUUCUCUGUAAUUUCUCCAAGUAGAGAAACAAAUAGACAACCGAAUAGAAAAACAAAUUUGAGAUAUGUUAAGCUGACGUAACCACAUCUUCGAAUCGAGUUGAAACCUAUCAAACAAUUAAGAGCUUAUUUAAUGCUAAUUUAAUGCCUUAUUGCCAAAUUUAAUGCUGCAUUAUUUAAAAAAAAACCAGGGGUUCCGCUAGCUUAACGUUAAGCUGGCGGAACCCAUGUGAAAUA